rnacentral:rRNA from 1 species
CCCUUAGACGUUCUGGGCCGCACGCGCGCUACACUGACAAAGGCAACGAGCUACUCUUCACCGAAAGGUGUGGGUAAUCUUUUGAAACUUUGUCGUGCUGGGGAUAGAUCCUUGCAAUUUUUGAUCUUAAACGAGGAAUUCCUAGUAAGCGCAAGUCACCAACUUGCGUUGAUUACGUCCCUGCCCUUUGUACACACCGCCCGUCGCUACUACCGAUUGAAUGGUUUAGUGAGGCCUUCGGAUCCGCGACUCGUUUGUGGAGAAGUUGGACAAACUCAGUCAUUUAGAGGAAGUAAAAGUCGUAACA